rnacentral:rRNA from 1 species
AGCUCCGAUAGCGUAUAUUAAAGUUGUUGCAGUUAAAAAGCUCGUAGUUGAACUUCUAAGGAUUGAAGUCGCCUUAUGGCUUGUAUUGAUAUCCUUAUCCGCUUUGAUUUAGCAAUACGCACUUUGUUGGGCGAUUGUGUAAUCAGGCAAUUUACUUUGAAAAAAUUAGAGUGUUUCAAGCAAGCGCUUCGCUGGAAUACAUUAGCAUGGAAUAAUAGAAUAUGACCUUUGUUCAUUUAUUGGUCCAAUGAGUGGAGGUAAUGAUUAACAGGGACAGUUGGGGGCAUUAGUAUUGCUUUGUCAGAGGUGAAAUUCAUUGAUUAUCGCAAGACUAACUUAUGCGAAAGCAUUUGCCAAGGAUGUUUUCA